UACGUAGGGUGCAAGCGUUGUCCGGAAUUAUUGGGCGUAAAGAGCUCGUAGGCGGCCUGUCGCGUCGGCUGUGAAAACCUGGGGCUCAACCCCGGGCCUGCAGCCGAUACGGGCAGACUGGAGUUCGGCAGGGGAGACUGGAAUUCCUGGUGUAGCGGUGAAAUGCGCAGAUAUCAGGAGGAACACCGGUGGCGAAGGCGGGUCUCUGGGCCGAUACUGACGCUGAGGAGCGAAAGCGUGGGGAGCGAACAGG
rnacentral:rRNA from 1 species